rnacentral:rRNA from 1 species
GGAAGUAAAAGUCGUAACAAGGUCUCCGUUGGUGAACCAGCGGAGGGAUCAUUACAGAGUUGCAAAACUCCCUAAACCAUUGUGAACGUUACCUAAACCGUUGCUUCGGCGGGCGGCCCGGGUCCUUCCCGGCGCCCCUCGGCCCUCGCGGGCGCCCGCCGGAGGUAAACCAAACUAUUGCAUUGUAUGGCCUCUCUGAGUCUUCUGUACUGAAUAAGUCAAAACUUUCAACAACGGAUCUCUUGGUUCUGGCAUCGAUGAAGAACGCAGCGAAAUGCGAUAAGUAAUGUGAAUUGCAGAAUUCAGUGAAUCAUCGAAUCUUUGAACGCACAUUGCGCCCGCCAGUAUUCUGGCGGGCAUGCCUGUUCGAGCGUCAUUUCAACCAUCAAGCCCCGGGCUUGUGUUGGGGACCUGCGGCUGCCGCAGGCCCUGAAAUGCAGUGGCGGGCUCGCUGUCACUCCGAGCGUAGUAGUUACAUCUCGCUCUGGGCGUGCUGCGGGUUCCGGCCGUUAAAAGCCUUAUUUACCCAAGGUUGACCUCGGAUCAGGUAGGAAGACCCGCUGAACUUAAGCAUAUCAAUAAGCGGAGGA